rnacentral:rRNA from 1 species
AGAAGACCCCAUGGAGCUUUAAACCCAACAACACCUAUCUAUUUUAUUCCCCCAUAUUUAUACGGUUAUGUUUGUUUGGUUUUAGGUUGGGGUGACCGCGGAGUAUAAAACAACCUCCACGAAGAAAAGACUAAUAAUCUUUAUCAGAGAAAGACAUUUCUAAGAAAUAAUAUAUUAACUUUAAAUGAUCCGAUAUUCGAUUAACGAAUCAAGUUACCCUGGGGAUAACAGCGCAAUCCACCUUAAGAGCCCUUAUCGACAGGUGGGUUUACGACCUCGAUGUUGGAUCAGGGUAUCACAGUGGUGCAGCAGCUACUAAUGGUUCGUUUGUUCAACGAUUAA